GUAAUUCUCCUGCCUCAGCUUCCCGAGUAGCUAUGAUUACAGGCAUGUGCCACCACACCAGGCUAAUUUUUUGUAUUUUCAGUAGAGAUGGGGUUUUACCACAUUGGCCAGGCUGGUCUUGAGCUCCUGACCUCAAGUGAUCCACCUGCCUUGGUCUCCCAAAGUGUUGGGAUUACAGGCAUAGCCACUAUGUCUGGCCUGUGGCCAGUUUUUACAGAGAAAAGGUGGGGUGUUGGGUUCUUUGUUUUUACACGGGAAAGGUGGGGUCAGCUUAUUUAGCUGACCUUGCUAUAGGAUAUGGUGUAUUAGGUAGCACGGAGAAUUUUGGAUUUUCGGGUGUUGGGGGGCAGGGAGUUAGAGUAAUUAUUUGGGGGAAAGGGGUACUGGUUUCUAUGAUGUGCCUAAGGGAAGAGGGAUUCUAGUUUCUCUGGCUAGCCUCAGAGGAGAAUGAGGGGCAGGGACAGGAGGGCAAGAGAAGAUCAGAGAAAAACGUUUGCUUCUGAGGUUAUAGCUGAGGCCUCAUUCUAGGCUUCUGUUUCCUGAGCCCAUGUUGUCCCUGUUGACAUCAAGAGGCCUAGGGGCAACAGAUGACCUCCUCCCAGCUCUAGGAGCUCUGAUGUUCUGACAUGGACAGCAGACUACUAGGCUCUGCCCUGAGCUGAGCCAGGUUUUGGGGAGCUAUGGGAUACACAGGUGCCCACUGGUAGAUGGCACUUUUCAGCUAUUAAAAGCCCCCAAAGGUAAACAUCUGUAUUGAUCAUUCAGCACCCCCUUAAGCUGAUGAUGUGGGACCCACACUGCCCAUGCCCCACUGUAUAGCUAAGGAAACUGCCCAACCCGCAGCAGAGGAGGGACAGCGCCAGGACUCACUGCCCCGAACAGUGCCCUGGAAAGUCCAUCCUCUCUCCCUAUGACCAUGUCAGGGCCCACAGAGAAAAACUGGCCAUGACCCUAUUAAAUUGGCUUGGGCUGGCACAGAAUGCGCUGGACCUGGCCUUUCCCUUAAGCCCCAUUAAGCUGAAAAGCAAGGACUGUGGCUGAUUGUGGCCAUGUGCCCACGGGUUCCUCCUGGCCACUAAUAUUCUACUGACCCUGUAUAUAAGUAUAUAAGCAUCAUUUAGCCAUGUUUUUUUUUUUGUUUUGUUUUUAAUGAGACGGAAUCUCAUUCUGUCGCCCAGGCUGGAGUGGAGUGGCACGAUCUCAGCUCACUGCAACCUCCGCCUCCCGGGUUCAAGCAAUUCUUCUCCCUCAGCCUCCCAAGCAGCUGGGACUACAGGCGUGCGCCACCACACCUGCAUUUAGCCAUUUAGCCAAGUUCUAUUCCUUCUUGGUGGUGGUGGUGGGGUUCCCAUAGCCUGAAGAAUAAGGGCCUGGGGCUCUGGGCCUGGGGACUGAAGCUUAGGCCUGGGAGACCUGAAGCUCCAGUGGAAGAUGCUUUCCUGGACUUUCUUGGCAGCAAAAAAAACUUCACCUCUUGCCUAUGAAUUGCCUGUAUUUUAAAGGGUGUGUGUGUGUGUGUGUGUGUGAGAGAGAGAGAGAGAGAAAUUGAGGUGUAAUUAUUUUGCUGGGUGAUGACAACAAACAUUUACUGCUCCUAAACAGGCAAGGAAAUGAUUUAGCCAUGAACUUUUCAUGAUGCCUCAUUCCCUCCUGUGGUCCCGUGGUCCUCAGGCUGCGCAGUGGGAGAAGGGGGGUGGGGGGCCACAAAUAACCCUCGUGGAAAGGAAUGUGGGGUCAGCCUCAGGAAAACUGGGAGGGGAGGUCCCACCUGAUGGGGGUCUUUGUAAACUUUACCAAGGGAAGCCCAGAAACACAAAGAGGUGCAGGGAGAGAAAGAAGGAGGAGGUGUUUUAAAGAGUAAAGCCUGGCAUUAGAAAGUGUUAUUCGAGUAAAAUGGCCAACGUUUCCUUUCUUUUAAGAGCGACUCUUAAAUUCCAAUUACUCCGCCCCCAAAGACCAGUUGAGAAUAACCCCAACUGGAGGGAAUUAAUUUCCUUAGGAAUUUCACUCUUACAAGAUUAAUGGAGCCCCCCUGCAGAGAAACGGUAAAACUGUAAGUACAGUAGAUUUGCACCUGAAGGAUACAUAUUUUAAUUUCUGUUCUCAAGCUGCGAUAACAUCUUCUCCAGCUACUAUAAAAAGCAUAAAUGAGCACCCGCACGUCUGCUGAGAACUUGCAACCCCAGGCUCCCCGGGAGCAGCCCCGCGCCGACCCUCCACGUUGCUCGCCUGGGUGCGGGGACCGCGGCGUGGGCGCGGGGAUGGGAAGGCGCGGGGAUGGGAAGGCCUGGGGCAAACAGCCUCCCCGCGAGCCGGGUCGACCCAGCCCAGAGCAGAACCCCUGGACCAGAUUAUCCUAAGUCCACCCCUACCCCGCCCCCAGCCCCGUCACCCACCCUGGCACCGCCCUCCCGCGGGGACAAUUGGCCUGGACCAAGAAUGGGGAGCCUGAACAGUGGCCGGUCUCCCACCCGCUCCUCCGGAGCCUGCAGGGGGGUUCAGCCUCUGUCCAGCAGACUUCCUGGCUCCAAGAACGGGCCUUGGGAAGGGGCUCCCCUGACUCCAAGUUGACAGCAGCCCGUCCCUUCUCCUUAGCCCAAGCCACUCUGGCAAUGGGGACCCGCCUCCCUCACGCUAACCAAGGACCGGUCUGGGAUGGGGAGUUGGAGAUGGGCUGUGAGGACUCUUCUCUCAGCCCUUAAGAGUCCAGAACUUAUCUGGGAACACAUCAGCCAAUUUUCUGUUCCCUUUCUUGCCAGGGACUGCUUUUAUUGGAAGAAGUCUAUGUAUAUGCAUUGCUAUAAAGGUUGUUUAUGCUGUCAUAGCUAGAUUUUUAUUGGUUGUAUUUUUGCUGCACUUGCUUGAAAAAUAAUUAUUUUCAAAGAAAAGAAGAAUUAUAUAUCCAGUAAACUAAAUAAGACCCACUGUUUAUUAGAGACCUCUGACAGCUCCUCAAACACGAAAAAAGAUUUCCAAGCAGUGGAUGGACAAUUUAUGUAAGUAUGUCUUAUCUGAUGGCUUCACAGUAAUCUGGUUUCCCCUAAGAAGCUAAGACUAUCUGGGCUAUUUGAGAUCCUGCAAGAUUUAUCAAGACUAUACUAGCCAUAUGAAAGCAUGUUAACACAGGGAGGGAGAGAGGAAAAGCCCUCCACGUUAUGACUGGCAUACACGCUUCCAAAGCAUCGUUACUAACUGAAGGCCCAGUUCCUGAGGCGAUCACCCCAGACACACUGAAUGCAAUUUGUUGGUCACUGAUUUGCCGCUGGCUGAAAUGACUAAGAAGUGGAAAUGGGAGAUGCAGGAAGAAAGUCACUGUCCUAUGAUGAGAGACGGAUGUGUGGGGCCCUAAUGAGGAACCCUUUACUCCAUGAAACCGAGGGAAAGAGCUGCGCUGAGCCACGUCUGGCUGACUCUGCACAGACAAAACGGGGCAGCUCUGCUGGCCACCAAGCCCAUCAGCAGCCAGGUGGUCAGCGAGGAGCAGCUGCCCUGAGGGCUGAUGGUAGGAGACAGAGAGCCCAGGGCCGAAAGAACAGCGGGCUCAGUGCCCCGCUCCCUCCUCCCCAGCCCCUCCACGGGGAAGCACAGUUUGGCCCCAUUUUCAAAACCACUGUGUUUUAUUUCUAUUGUCCCAAACUCUCUGGCCUUCUUCCUAGAGAACACCAAGAGGAAUGCUCUCACCAGUUUGGUUGAAACCUUAUUUUUUAGUUUGUGCACAUUCUAUGUCACUGUGCUAAGAGUGACCAGAUGUAUUAGUCAGUUUUCAUGCUGCUAAUAAAGACAUACUGGCCCAG